GUAGACAUAGUUUAAUAUAAAACAUUAGAUUGUGAUUCUAAAAACAGGGGUUAAACUCCCCUUGUCCACCG
rnacentral:tRNA from 1 species